rnacentral:rRNA from 1 species
UACGAAGGGUGCAAGCGUUGUUCGGAAUUACUGGGCGUAAAGCGCGCGUAGGCGGUUUGAUAAGUUGGGAGUGAAAUCCCGGGGCUUAACCUCGGAAUUGCUUUCAAAACUGUCAAGCUAGAGUAUGAUAGGGGACAGUGGAAUUCUUAGUGUAGAGGUGAAAUUCGUAGAUAUUAAGAGGAACACCAGUGGCGAAAGCGACUGUCUGGAUCAUUACUGACGCUGAGGCGCGAAAGCGUGGGGAGCAAACAGG